GACGAACGCUGGCGGCGUGCUUAACACAUGCAAGUCGAACGGAAAGGCCCCUUUGGGGGUACUCGAGUGGCGAACGGGUGAGUAACACGUGAGUAACCUGCCCUUGACUUCGGGAUAACUUCAGGAAACUGGGGCUAAUACCGGAUAGGAAUCCUUGCUGCAUGGUGGGGGUUGGAAAGCUUCGGCGGUUUUGGAUGGACUCGCGGCUUAUCAGCUUGUUGGUGGGGUAGUGGCUUACCAAGGCUUUGACGGGUAGCCGGCCUGAGAGGGCGACCGGCCACAUUGGCACUGAGAUACGGCCCAGACUCCUACGGGAGGCAGCAGUGGGGAAUAUUGCACAAUGGGCGGAAGCCUGAUGCAGCAACGCCGCGUGCGGGAUGACGGCCUUCGGGUUGAAAACCGCUUUCAGCAGGGGCGAAGCUUGUGGUGACGGUACCUGCAGAAGAAGCACCGGCUAACUACGUG
rnacentral:rRNA from 1 species